UAAGGUCUUAAGUUAAGGUUUUUUUUUUUUUUUUGAAAUAUUUACUUUUUAGUUAUAGGUGAACACAAUAUUUUUAUUUUAUUUUUAUAUGGUGCUGAGGAUCGAACCCGGUGCCUCACGUGUGGGAGGUGAGCACUCUACCUCUGAGCCACAACCCCAGCCCCUUAAGUUAAGGUUUAAUCGUAAGUAUUGGCUUGAAAUCUGGUGAAAUGAGGAGGGCUUCAAAAAGCCGAAAUGCAAGUUUCCCUUCUCCCUUUGCUAGCCAAAUUGCCUUCCUUAUCAAGGGCACAGUGCACUAACGCCCGAGUGUCACUCAGGGUGGUGUUCAGUUUCCCGCUAGCCUAUGGAGUUACUCACACAAACUAAUCACAUACUCCUGCAAGAUCCAGAGGUCAUCCCCCAUCUAGUUAUCACAAAGCCUACCUCUCACAGCUGCUGGUUGUUCACUUUAUUUCUGAAUUCAAAGGCAUGUUGUCUUCUUCCCUUGGACUGCAAGUAUAUGUGGCUAGUGAACUGCUGUUGAUCUCACUUGCCCAGUAUCAGAUGUCAUGUAUUCUCACAUUCCCAAACCAGAGGGUGGUGUUAUAGUUUGGAUCUUAAGUGUCCCCCAAAAGCCAUAGGCUAAAGGCUUGGUUGCUAAUCAGUGGUACAAUCGGGAGAUAGGGCUUAGAUGAAGGAAGUUAGCUCAUUGAGGGCAUGACCUUCGAGGAGAUGUUGGGGCCCUGGCCCCUUCCUGUCUCUAUCUUGCUCCCUGGAUGUUGUGAGGUGAGAAGCCUCCUCUGACAUAUGCUCCCUGCUCUGAUGCUCUGCCUUAUCAUGGACCCAAAGCAAUGUAGCCAGCUGACCAAGAACUGAUACCUCGGAACCGUAAGCCAAAAUAAAUCUUUCCUACUAACACCUGAUUAUCUCAGUUAUUUUGUUACAGGCAUGGUAAGUUGACUAACACAGGCUGGAAUCCUCCCUCACCAAUGGGAUGAAGAGGAGUUGAUUAAAACACUACACCAUGUGUUGUGUGACUCAGGAGCCAGCACAAAUGUAGUAUGUUUGUAUGUAUAUUGAAUUGUUACGGAGCCUGAUGAAAGAGAGACACAUAGAAGUAAGAUGCCAGAUCUCAUGCAGAGGGACAUCUCUUCAGGGUUUUAUUUAUUCUUUUAAAUGCAUUGUGUUCCCAGGAAGAGCUUGUACAAAUGUGCCAGAAGCAUUGUGUCACCAUUGACAUUUGGAUGACAGUCUUCAAAGUGAUGUCAUUGAUACAGAGAUGAAUCAGAUUCAAUGCUUUUGAAAUUCACAGAGUAUUAAGAAAGUCAGAUGGGUAUGUAAAUAAUACUAAUACAGAAAGAACAUGAUAUCAUCACUGUACGUGCAAAAAGUUAAGACCAUGGAAAAUUCAGGUAAUAGAAAACUUCUGCCUGAGGAAUGAAGGAAACUGACUACAGCGGGUGAAUUCUGUUCCUGAAAAGAUGAAAUCUUAAACCCAGUAUCUGUGAAGUUGGCCUUAUUUGGAAAUAUUUUCUUUUUAAAUCAACUAAGUUAAGGACCUUGAGAUGAGAUCAUUUUGGAUUUAGGGAGGUUCCUAAUCCAAUGACUGCUAUAAUCAUAAUAGAGUUGAGACAUAGAACCAUGGGCCAGAGGCUAUAUCAGGACAGAUACAGAAACUGGAAUUAUGCUGCCCCAAGUCAAGGACCCUGGAGCCACCGAAAGCUACAAGAAGCAAGCAAACAUUCUUUUUUAGAGCCUUCAGAGAUAAUGUAUACCUUUCAACACCUUGAUUUCAAAGACUUCUGGCUUCCAAAAUGGUGACAGAAUAAAUUUCUGUUAUUUCAAACCACUAGGUCUGUGCUAAUGUUGUUCUUGCAGACCUAGGAAAUAAAGAUAAUCAUUACAGAAAUAA